UACGUAGGGUGCAAGCGUUAAUCGGAAUACUGGGCGUAAAGCGUGCGCAGGCGGCUUUGCAAGACAGAUGUGAAAUCCCCGGGCUUAACCUGGGAACUGCAUUUGUGACUGCAUGGCUGGAGUGCGGCAGAGGGGGAUGGAAUUCCGCGUGUAGCAGUGAAAUGCGUAGAUAUGCGGAGGAACACCGAUGGCGAAGGCAAUCCCCUGGGCCUGCACUGACGCUCAUGCACGAAAGCGUGGGGAGCAACAGG
rnacentral:rRNA from 1 species